GAUGAACGCUGGCGGCGUGCCUGAUACAUGCAAGUCGAGCGAAUGGAUUAAGAGCUUGCUCUUAUGAAGUUAGCGGCGGACGGGUGAGUAACACGUGGGUAACCUGCCCAUAAGACUGGGAUAACUCCGGGAAACCGGGGCUAAUACCGGAUAACAUUUUGAACCGCAUGGAUCGAAAUUGAAAGGCGGCUUCGGCUGUCACUUAUGGAUGGACCCGCGUCGCAUUAGCUAGUUGGGGAGGUAACGGCUCACCAAGGCAACGAUGCGUAGCCGACCUGAGAGGGUGAUCGGCCACACUGGGACUGAGACACGGCCCAGACUCCUACGGGAGGCAGCAGUAGGGAAUCUUCCGCAAUGGACGAAAGUCUGACGGAGCAACGCCGCGUGAGUGAUGAAGGCUUUCGGGUCGUAAAACUCUGUUGUUAGGGAAGAACAAGUGCUAGUUGAAUAAGCUGGCACCUUGACGGUACCUAACCAGAAAGCCACGGCUAACUACGUGCCAGCCGCCGCGGUAA
rnacentral:rRNA from 1 species